rnacentral:rRNA from 1 species
UCGGCUUAGAGUUUGAUCAUGGCUCACAUUGAACGCUGGCGGCAGGCUUAACACAUGCAAGUCGAACGGUAAAGUAGCUUGCUACUUACGAGUGGCGGACGGGUGAGUAACGUAUGGGAAUUUACCGAAUGGAGGGGGACAACAGUUGGAAACGGCUGCUAAUACCGCAUAACGUCGAGAGACCAAAGGGUUUCGACUUGCCAUUUGAUGAGCCCAUAUGAGAUUAGCUAGUUGGUGUGGUAAUGGCUCACCAAGGCGACGAUCUCUAGCUGGUUUGAGAGGAUGACCAGCCACACUGGGACUGAGACACGGCCCACACUCCUACGGGAGGCAGCAGUGGGGAAUAUUGCACAAUGGGGGGAACCCUGAUGCAGCCAUGCCGCGUGUAUGAAGAAGGCCUUAGGGUUGUAAAGUACUUUCGUGGAGGAGGAAGGGUUUACGUAAUCGUGGACAUUGACGUUACUCCAAGAAGAAGCACCGGCUAACUCCGUGCCAGCAGCCGCGGUAAUACGGAGGGUGCGAGCGUUAAUCGGAAUGACUGGGCGUAAAGGGCAUGUAGGCGGAUGAUUAAGUUAGAUGUGAAAUCCCUGGGCUUAACCU